rnacentral:rRNA from 1 species
GAUGAACGCUGGCGGCGUGCUUAACACAUGCAAGUCGAACGAUGAACCGGGUGCUUGCACUCGGGGAUUAGUGGCGAACGGGUGAGUAACACGUGAGCAACCUGCCCCUGACUCUGGGAUAAGCGCUGGAAACGGCGUCUAAUACUGGAUAUGUCCCGUCACCGCAUGGUGUGCGGGUGGAAAGAUUUUUCGGUUGGGGAUGGGCUCGCGGCCUAUCAGCUUGUUGGUGAGGUAAUGGCUCACCAAGGCGUCGACGGGUAGCCGGCCUGAGAGGGUGACCGGCCACACUGGGACUGAGACACGGCCCAGACUCCUACGGGAGGCAGCAGUGGGGAAUAUUGCACAAUGGGCGGAAGCCUGAUGCAGCAACGCCGCGUGAGGGAUGACGGCCUUCGGGUUGUAAACCUCUUUUAGCAGGGAAGAAGCGAGAGUGACGGUACCUGCAGAAAAAGCUCCGGCUAACUACGCGCCGGCCGCCGCAGUAA